rnacentral:tRNA from 1 species
GCAAUUUUAGUUUAAUUAAAAUAAUAGUUUGUCUCACUGUUGAUGGCUUUAUAAGCUAAGUUGCU